UAACGGCGAGUGAAGCGGCAACAGCUCAAAUUUGAAAUCUGGCCUCACGGCCCGAGUUGUAAUUUGCAGAGGAUGCUUUUGGCGCGGCGCCUUCCGAGUGCCCUGGAACGGGACGCCAUAGAGGGUGAGAGCCCCGUCUGGUUGGAUGCCUAGCCUCUGUAAAGCUCCUUCGACGAGUCGAGUAGUUUGGGAAUGCUGCUCAAAAUGGGAGGUAUAUGUCUUCUAAAGCUAAAUAUUGGCCAGAGACCGAUAGCGCACAAGUAGAGUGAUCGAAAGAUGAAAAGCACUUUGAAAAGAGGGUUAAAUAGUACGUGAAAUUGUUGAAAGGGAAGCGCUUGUGACCAGACUUGGGCUUGGUGAAUCAUCCGGCGUUCUCGCCGGUGCACUUUGCCUGUCCAGGCCAGCAUCAGUUCGCUCCGGGGGAUAAAGGCGUGGGGAAUGUGGCUCCUCCGGGAGUGUUAUAGCCCCGCGUGUAAUACCCUGUGGCGGACUGAGGUUCGCGCUCCGCAAGGAUGCUGGCGUAAUGGUCAUCAGCGA
rnacentral:rRNA from 1 species